rnacentral:rRNA from 1 species
UUCACCUACGGGGGGCAGCAGUGGGGAAUAUUGCGCAAUGGGGGCAACCCUGACGCAGCAACGCCGCGUGAUUGAAGAAGGCCUUCGGGUUGUAAAGAUCUUUAAUCGGGGACGAAUUUUGACGGUACCCGAAGAAUAAGCUCCGGCUAACUACGUGCCAGCAGCCGCGGUAAUACGUAGGGAGCAAGCGUUAUCCAGAUUUACUGGGGGUAAAGGGCGAGUAGGCGGGCAUGCA